GUAUCCUGCUGCAUUGCCAUGGCU
rnacentral:siRNA from 1 species